rnacentral:rRNA from 1 species
UACGUAGGGGGCUAGCGUUGUCCGGAAUCAUUGGGCGUAAAGCGCGUGUAGGCGGUCCGGUAAGUCCGCUGUGAAAGUCGGGGGCUCAACCCUCGAAUGCCGGUGGAUACUGUCGGGCUAGAGUGCGGAAGAGGCGAGUGGAAUUCCUGGUGUGAGCGGUGAAAUGCGCAGAUAUCAGGAGGAACACCAAUUGCGAAGGCAGCUCGCUGGGACGUUACUGACGCUGAGACGCGAAAGCGUGGGGAGCAAACAGG